rnacentral:lncRNA from 1 species
AGAUACUUGGACAGAAGGAGAAGCCCGAUUGCUUCGGGAUGACACCCCCCACCUUUUAUCGCGUUCCGAUUGCUCGUCGUCACUCGCAAUCGGCCUCCCGCGGCGCACGCCGCUCGGCUCGACCCAAUCCGCGCGCGACCACCAAACGACCUCCAAUCCGCGAUCCGGAAAUUAUAGGUCUUCGGUUUCUUGUUAUGAUGCUCCAAAUCCGUUUCCAGGAUUUUACGACGUCGCCUCGGCCCUCCAGGCGAAAACGAAGCCUACAACACCUGUUUCAGCCGGAACGUCGCACCUGCUCGGCGAAUCGACGAACCGUCGCUUCCAACGCGUUCAGUGACCUAUCAAUUAGGUUUACAGAGGGUUAAAUGAGAUCAAACCCUCAUAUAUAUCAAAACGCCAUUUUGGAACCCUAGGUUUGCACUACGGCGAAAUCCACCAUUCGAUCUCUAGAUUCAAGCAUUAAACAUCUAUUAAGCUUGCUAGAACACUAAUCAAACCAUUUCUAGAGCAUUAGGAUCAAACCCUAGAGAUCUACCAUUGUAGGGUUUGGAGCUUACCUUGCUAAGCUUGCUCUAAUGGUAAGAGGAAGAAGAAGAUGAUGUUGGUGAUGAUGAUCCACUUCUUCUCCUCUCCUUUCUCCUCCUUUUCCUUCCUUCUCUUCUCCUCUUUCUUCUUCUUCUUCUUCACGUUUAGAGAGAGAGAGAGGUGGUGUUG